UUGUGAGUGUGUUUGUGUGUGAGUCAACGUGUUUGUGCGUGUGUGUCUGGAUAGCUCCGCACUGCCAGUCAGCUUCCUCAGUAAUCCUGUCUCUGUCAGCCAAGAGCUGCACUAUUUAUAACCAUGAUGAAGACACACUGAGACACAAGACAACACUCCACUGCCGUUGGGCACAGUGCAGGAACAUGCCUGCACACACCUGACAAACACAAGUGUCCAGCACAGACUGCUCCUCGUUUCAUUAGCAAUUGCCUUACCCUUCACUCACUUAUUCACACAUUAGUUCAGGUAUUUCUGGUUUUAAAUCACUAUCUAAGCUGUGCUUUACCUUACCUCUGCCUGAACACACAGCAUGCCCUUAUCGUGCAGUAAGGGAGUGGAAUAAAGAACAGAAGCUUAUGAAACGGAUCACUGAAUCGUGGAGUUCUGUUUGUUUUAGUUUUUUUGUGGUUGCCAUAGCGCCCUCACCCUACCCGUCAGCGAGAUCAGCUUUCACCACCAUCACAAGCACAAACAGCAAAGAAACUGAUAAACCCAGGGGAGCGACGCAGUCCACGCAGAACAACAAGCAGGUUACAGUAAACACAGCACAGCUGACUCUCAUCAGCACAUCUGCAGGUGAGCACCAGGUCGAGGCGCAGGAAAUCGAGCAGCGAGGCUCCGGCCGACAGCACGGCGUGUCGCGACAUCCCGGGCAGAACCUUCUGAGUCACGACACGACCUGCCGAGAAUGACAUCAUACACGGGACGCGAGUCAGCGCUGCAACAGUGCAAAAGAGAACUCGCACAAGAGCCGGCAGGACCUUUACGAAAACAGAUACGCAAUGGUGCAGCAUUCACAAAGAGCGAGCGUCUCUCUAACCGAAAGACCGCAGCCCACCAUCGCCCAUUACUGUCCCGGGUUACAACGCCAAGCACCGGCCGGGAAUGACAUUGCCGUGUGGGUGUGUCAGGCUGUGUAAUGCGGGACAGUUCCGCUAGAUGUCACUGCGGCCUCUGUUUUGUCGGAUGGCGCUAUACUUUACCCCACGUGUUUCUGAGGAUGGACUGCGUGAUAUUUAUGAAUGAACGGUUUUGUUAAUUGUUUCAUUUUAAUCGAUCGAAUACACCAGUUAAUUCAUGAUUAUUGAACUGGAUCUGCAGUCAAACUU